GGGGCGAUGGCGGAACAGGCAGACGCAGGGGACUUAAAAUCCUCUGGGCAUUCGCCCGUGCGGGUUCGAGUCCCGCUCGCCCCA
rnacentral:tRNA from 1 species